ACAGGGAUUGCCUUAGUAACGGCGAGUGAAGCGGCAACAGCUCAAAUUUGAAAUCUGGCGUCUUUGGCGUCCGAGUUGUAAUUUGCAGAGGGCGCUUUGGCAUUGGCAGCGGUCCAAGUUCCUUGGAACAGGACGUCACAGAGGGUGAGAAUCCCGUACGUGGUCGCUAGCCUUUACCGUGUAAAGCCCCUUCGACGAGUCGAGUUGUUUGGGAAUGCAGCUCUAAAUGGGAGGUAAAUUUCUUCUAAAGCUAAAUACUGGCCAGAGACCGAUAGCGCACAAGUAGAGUGAUCGAAAGAUGAAAAGCACUUUGGAAAGAGAGUUAAAAAGCACGUGAAAUUGUUGAAAGGGAAGCGCUUGCAGCCAGACUUGCCUGUAGUUGCUCAUCCGGGUUUUUACCCGGUGCACUCUUCUACAGGCAGGCCAGCAUCAGUUUGGGCGGUUGGAUAAAGGUCUCUGUCAUGUACCUCUCUUCGGGGAGAACUUAUAGGGGAGACGACAUGCAACCAGCCUGGACUGAGGUCCGCGCAUCUGCUAGGAUGCUGGCGUAAUGGCUGUAAGCGGCCCGUCUUGAAACACGGACCAAGGAGUCUAACAUCUAUGCGAGUGUUUGGGUGUCAAGCCCGAGCGCGUAAUGAAAGUGAACGGAGGUGGGAACCUUUCGGGGUGCACCAUCGACCGAUCCUGAUGUCUUCGGAUGGAUUUGAGUAAGAGCAUAGCUGUUGGGACCCGAAAGAUGGUGAACUAUGCUUGAAUAGGGUGAAGCCAGAGGAAACUCUGGUGGAGGCUCGCAGCGGUUCUGACGUGCAAAUCGAUCGUCAAAUUUGGGCAUAGGGGCGAAAGACUAAUCGA
rnacentral:rRNA from 1 species